CGUGGCCGCCGCGAGAGUUAUAGCUUGCAUUAGAACGAGGAAAAUUGCCAUUACCAGACCAAGGAGGUUGAACUCCACCGUUUGCAAAACCAUUAGUAACUCCAGUGUAGCUCUGUCGACUACUGUAACUUUGCGAUUGGUAAGAGCGUCGGACACCAUAACUUUGGUGUCCUCCACGAUACGAAUUACCAUUGUUUCGGCGGGAAGAAAAGCUCCUCUCUGCACGUACUUGGUUGAUAUCUUCUGGGGUUAACACCCUGUUCGGCAUUUUCACUCCCCUUAAAAGCAUGGAUUUAUGUACGAAAUGCGAUUUAGGUACUUCAAACACAAGACUUAUAGAUUGAUUAUCAUCUAUGCUUCCAUACUUCUGAAGGGCGUCAGCGGAUGUAACAUCAAUUGGGCAUUGAACGGAUACAUUGGGAAUUACGGAAUCAUUGGUGUUAACUUUGCCAAACAAUCCAUGUGCCAUCUUUCCGGAUAACUUAAGUGGUUUACCUUGACGUUUCUUGGAGUAAAGUUGUUUGACAAGUUCGCUAAACAUUGGAUGAUGUUCAGAAAUAAAUAAUAAAGUAGAACCAUCCUCAUUUCUUUUUGACUCUUCCUCGGUAAGUUGAGG